AUUAUUUUGGCAGAAAAGUGCAUUAAAUUUAGAAUUUAAAUAUGUAGUUAGUUACUAACUAUAGAUAAUA
rnacentral:tRNA from 1 species